rnacentral:tRNA from 1 species
ACCUGGCUGGCUCAGUCAGUGGAGCAUGUGACUCUUGAUCUCGGGGUUGUGAGUUCGAGCCCCACACUGGGUG